AGAGUGAACGCUGGCGGUAGGCCUAACACAUGCAAGUCGAACGGCAGCACGGUAAGAGCUUGCUCUUAUGGGUGGCGAGUGGCGGACGGGUGAGGAAUACAUCGGAAUCUACCUUUUGGUGGGGGAUAACGUAGGGAAACUUACGCUAAUACCGCAUACGCCCUUCGGGGGAAAGCCGGGGACCGAGCAAUGGCCUGGUGCUGAUAGAUGAGCCGAUGUCGGAUUAGCUAGUUGGUGAGGUAAUGGCUCACCGAAGGCGACGAUCCGUAGCUGGUCUGAGAGGAUGAUCAGCCACACUAGGAACUGACGACGA
rnacentral:rRNA from 1 species